AGGAGCUAGCAAUGCUACGUGGAAUUGCAUGUCGAAAUUCACACGUGAAAAUGGGAAACACGAACGCUCACUACUUCGCUCAGUUGGUAUUGCUCUAGGAGCAUUCAGAGAAGUGGAUGGCGAUGCAAAGUCACUGACAUCACCUCCAGUGACUCCACUGCACUUCCCCUACAACGGAAAAGAGCAAGAGUGAAUGUGAAGAUGGCCGGGGAAUCUUGCUAGGAAGGAGACAGGGAAGCACCCACCACUCUUUGAAUGCUUCCUGAUUAAAGGUAUCUUCUGAGAGGUUGUUCUCUCUCCACUUCUCAUUCAAGUCUGAAGAUGCUUACAGUCACCUGCAGUACUUCUAAAUCAGAGUUUUGAGAUGGAAGAGGUCACAGCUCCAAUGAUCUCAGCCGAAGAAGAUGAGGAAGAAGACCAGCACAAGUGCUACGACUCAGUGACCUCAUGGGAAACCGUGGGGAGAGAUAGCAUUCAAGAAGGAACAUGGGGAAGAGUAUCCAGAGUACAGAGUGGAAGCCUUUGCCCUCCUCUUUCAGCUCUCCAAGGAAUGUCUUCCUGCCCGGUGUCCUGGACAACUGCCUGUCUUUAGAAUUAACAAAUGCUCUGACUUGCAGAGUCUCUCUCAAAUCAGCUUUUGCUGGUAUCAGGAUUUCUCUGGAGGACUCAACAAAGUCCUCUCCAUGCCUGAGAUUCCUACAAUGAUUGAAAUUCCAUUGUUUCUUCCCCGUGGCAUCCAGCCCACUGUACGCUGUGGCAUUUGGACAGGUUCUUGCCUCGAGUUCCUGCUCUGCCUUCAUUUCACUAUACCUAGAAGCUGAAAUAAACUAUUUCCUCCA
rnacentral:lncRNA from 1 species